ACGGGUGAGUAAUAUAUCGGAACAUACCCUAGAGUGGGGGAUAACGUAGCGAAAGUUACGCUAAUACCGCAUACGCACUAAGGUGGAAAGCGGGGGAUCGCAAGACCUCGUGCUCCUGGAGUGGCCGAUAUCUGAUUAGCUAGUUGGUAGGGUAAAAGCCUACCAAGGCGACGAUCAGUAGCUGGUUUGAGAGAACGACCAGCCACACUGGAACUGAGACACGGUCCAGACUCCUACGGGAGGCAGCAGUGGGGAAUUUUGGACAAUGGGGGCAACCCUGAUCCAGCAAUGCCGCGUGAGUGAAGAAGGCCCUCGGGUUGUAAAGCUCUUUUGUCAGGGAAGAAACGGUCUACUCUAAUACAGUGGGCUAAUGACGGUACCUGAAGAAUAAGCACCGGCUAACUACGUGCCAGCAGCCGCGGUAAUACGUAGGGUGCAAGCGUUAAUCGGAAUUACUGGGCGUAAAGCGUGCGCAGGCGGUUUUAUAAGUCUGAUGUGAAAUCCCCGGGCUCAACCUGGGAACUGCAUUGAAGACUGUAAGGCUAGAGUGUGUCAGAGGGGGGUAGAAUUCCACGUGUAGCAGUG
rnacentral:rRNA from 1 species